CCAUUUAGAAUGUCCAUUGUCCUGAAGCGCAACCAUAUGUCAGCAUUCUAGAAUGCUCCAGACUUUGUACUGCAUUAGCAAAAGUUAAGUAGGGUUAGCACCAUGAGCUGUUUGGUGGCAAUCUACUUUUCCUUGGCUUCUAAGAGCAAGAGUUACUUGCUAAUAAAUUUAAGACCAUUUGUUGCCUCAACUAUUCCAAAGUGAAAGUAAAGUACACUUGGCUCUCUACUGAAAAUGAAUAGCAAGCCAAAAUCAAUACAGAUUCCAAUUUUACUAAAUGAUGUCACUUAUGACUCAUUCUUCAGGAAGCCAAAUUUAGCCAAUACCUACCACAGUAUGACAGGGCCAUGAUAUAUUUAAAUUCAGCUGCUUCCAAGGAAAGCUAUUGCUGCAAUAAUUCACAAGUCAAUAAGCCAUUGACUUUUAAAAUAUGGAUCUGAACAAAUAAGAUCUUGCCACAGACUUCCUGAAAAGUAUCUGAAUGAAGAAAGCUCAUAAAUACUUUUAAAGAAAUUAGUGAAUCACAGGUUGUCAACCUUUCCAGGUAGACCAGAAAGACCAGGUGCCGGAGCUGAAGGCACUGCUCGAGCCGUUUGUGCGUCUGAUCAGCAUUCAGCUCCAACUCGUGCUGUUUCUCAUGAAGGAAUUCCAGCAGCUCUUGCACUUGGAUUGCUAGAUCGAUGUCCUUUUCACAGAUCAGUUCAAUUCCUGGAACAGAAUAAACGUCCUCAGAUGGGAAAAAAACCCUA